UAUGGAAUUGAUUAUGAAGAGACAUUUGCAUCUGUUGUCAAAAUAACUAUUGUACGAACUAUCUUGGCACUACGUCGCAAUGGUGGUCUCUCCGACAGAUGGAUGUGAAGAAUGCUUUCCUACAUGGGGAUUUGAAGGAAAAAAUCUGUCUCCACCUCCUGGCAUGUUUGCUACACCUUCCUCAGAGGAUUUGUAUUGCUUCUGUACUUUAUUGGCCUUGAGGUGCAAAUUACUCCGACUGGUACGUUGUUACACCAGCACAAAUACACGCAGGAAGUGAUUUCAUUGGCUAGUCUCCAAUCGAGUAACUCUGUUCUUACUCCCUUGGAGGUAAAUCUUAAGGUUCGUAAGGAGGAAGGCGAGCUUCUAUCAGAUCCAUCCUUGUAUCGGCAGCUUGUUGGGAGUUUGAACUACUUGACGAUUACUCGUCUUGACAUUUCUUUUGUUGUGCAGCAGGUCAGUCAAUUUAUGCAGGCCCCCCGACAUCUUCAUUUAGCUGCUAUCUGCCGCAUUAUCCGAUAUCUGAAGGGCACCUCUACAUGCGGGUUGUU